CGUGGUCAGCUUCCCCGAAGGGAGGGCGGGGGAGGGCCUUAUAUGUGUCGCGGAAGCUAGAAUAACAAUGAUCCAGGGUUUUACCAGCCCUGGUUGCACAAUCGAUAUGCUGAUAGAAUUUAGGGAGUCUUGUUUUCCGAUUGGCCUUGUUAAAAUCCCCAUCUACAAUUAAUGCAGCCUCAGGAUAUGUGGUUUCCCGUUUACAUAGAGUCAAAUGAAGUUCUUUCAGGGCCAUCGAUGUGUCUGCUUGGGGGGGGGGGUAUAUGCGGCUGUGACUAUAAUCGAAGAGAAUUCUCUUGGUCGACAUUUGAUUGUGAGGAAUUCUAAGUCAGGUGAACAGAAGGACUUGAGUUCCUGUAUGUUAUUAUGAUCACACCAUGUCUCGUUAAUCAUAAGGCCCCCCCCGCCCUUCUUCUUACCAGAAACAUGAUUGUUUCUGUCGGCGCGAUGCGUGAAGAAACCAGCUUGCUGUACCGACUCCGAUUGCGUGUUUCGAGUGAGCCAUGUUUCCGUGAAGCAAAGAACGUUACAGUCUCUCUGGAAUGCUACCCUUGCUCGGAUUUCAUCUACCUUGUUGUCAAGAGAUUGGACAUCGGCGAGUAGUUUUCUCGGGAGCGGUGAGCGAUGUGCCCGUCUCCGGAGCCUGACCAGAAGACCGCUUCGUCUGCCUCUUUUACGGCGUCAUUGUUUUGGUUCGCCGGCUGGGAUCCGAUCCAUUGUCCUGGGUGGUGGGCAAAACAGAGGAUCCGCUUCGGGAAAGUCAUAUUCCUGGUCGUAAUGAUGGUGAGUUGACGUCGCUCUUAUAUCUAGUAGUUCCUCCCGACUGUAUGUAAUAAAACCUAAGAUUACCUGGGGUACCAAUGUAAGAAAUAACACACAAAAAAAACAAAAUACUGCAUAGUUUCCUAGGAACACGAAGGGAGGCGGCCAUCUGUCGGCGCCGGAAGUAUGUUCGUAUUUUCUACUCUCUUGUGGGAAACCCUCACUGUUGCGCAGAUAUUUAGAAACUAAAUUGAACUUUCCACAGCUAUAUUCAAUGUGCGGGACAAAAUUGAGGCUAUGAUUAAGAAGGUGGAGCCCAUUUCUGUCUGCAUUAACAAGGACAACACACAGGCUUUUCAUCAUUGUAUGAUUUUUAAAUUUUUAAAUGAAGUGUGCAAAUGAACAAGAUUAUGGACAAUGUCAAAUGUGAUAUAGCGAAGCACCUGAGUGAGCUGGGUGUGCAAUUACACAGACACUUUCCCGAAAAUGCCCUGCCUCCAGUCCAGUUACCGAUAUCUGAACAAGAGAGCCUCAUUGAAAUUGUAACAAGCGGUUCUGUGAAAAUGUAAUCAGAAGCCACUGCCAGAUUUCUGGAUAGGGUUGUGCUUAGUUUCUUGCCUUGGCAAAUCGCACUGUUAAGACACUGAUGCCCUUUGCAACCACAUACCUAUGUGAGUGUAUUCUCGGCCCUCACUAGCAUAAAACUAAAUACAGGCACAGACUGUGUGGAAAAUUAUUUAAGACAGACUCUCCAAUACAACCCAACAUUGCAGAGUUAUGUGCAUCCUUUCAAGCACCCUUUUUUCAUUAACCUGUGGCGUGUUAUUCACGAUUUAAUGAAAAAAUAAUUUAGCCAUCUUAAAUAUAAAACCUUAAGAGCAAAAGUAUUAUAUUAUUUGUGCCCUGGUCCAAAAUAGUUCUUUGUCACUUCCCACAUGCUGGGUUGUGACAACAACUCACACUCAUUCUUAUGUGUAAUAAAUGACAAUGACAAAAAACAAAAAACAAUGACAAAAAACAACAUUUGAGAGUGCGCUGACCCUGGUGCAAGAGCUGGAGGUUGAAUUUUAAAAAUGUUUAACCCCUUUUUCGUGGUAUCCAAAUGGUGUCUCAUCGCUGCAACUCCCGUAUGGACUCGGGAGAGGCAAAGGUCGAGAGCAAUGUCACAGGAGAGCAAGCCACAGGAGUCGCUAGUGCACGAUGAGACAAGGAUAUCCCUGCCGGCCAAACCCUCCCUAACCCGGACGACGCUGGGCCAAUUGUGCGUCGCCCCAUGGACUUCCCAGUCGCGGCCGGCUGCGACAGAGCCUGGGCUCGAACCCAGAAUCUCUUAGACCACUGCGCCACCCGGGAGGCCAAUUUUGAAUGGGAAGGGGGUGCUGGUGACGGAGCUGACCCACAUGGAGCAGCACUUCCCGUCCAUCAGGAGGAAGCUGGAACGGGUGUAGGAGAGGAUGAGAGCCCUAGACAUGGCCAAGCAGGUCGGACAGCACCACUCCCUGGAGAGCUACUGUGACCUGGAGCAGCUGUGUAGUUCAUCAACAUGAGCUGAAUAGGAGACUGAAGAUCAACAUUCGGAAUGCCAAGGUUGCGCCCGAGUGGCGCAGCGGUCUAAGGCACUGCAUCUCUAUAGUGACGCGUCUAGCACUGACACCCUGGUUCGAAUCCAGGCUGUAUCACAACUGGCCGUGAUUGGGAGUCCCAUAGUGCGGCACACAAUUGGCCCAGCAUCUGACUUGAGUCUGAGCAAGAGAGGCCCAGCAGUAGGCAGGGCCCAACAGGAAUGAUGAGACCUCCCCAUCCAGCAAUAGAGACCCUGUUCCCCCUCCAGGAGCAGGAAAGCUUGUGGAUGACUAGGCCUACCCGGGACCCCUGUCCCAGCCCUGGCCCUCACCCAAUCUCAGAUUCCGGACCCAACGUCAUAAUGGAGGAGAUUAUAGGAGAUUGAACAAGCAGACAAAGGGAAUUUAAAUCCAGCCAUCAACUCACCACAUCCAAAACCACUGCAGCUAGGUUCUCAACUGGAGUUAUCCCAGCACACCUAUCUGAGCUGCAAAGGCCACUGAGAGCCCAGAGGAGCAACAAGAAGAUCCAGGAGGACCUCCCACCUGUCAGUCAGAUCAACACUGUUGAUCUACACAACACACAUUUCACAUGACAACAUACACAAGAUUCUCUCUUGCGCCGUCUCGCCCUCUCAGACCUGCGAACGUUCGCUCCACCUGGACAGCCACAACGUGUGACUUCAUCUCCUAAUAUCUGACAGGAGCCAUGGUCAUAAAGAGAACACAGAGCAGCGUCCGGUGACAGUCACUGUACUGCCCCAGCCGGGCUGGGAAAGACGCCAGCAUCACAGACUUGCGGGUUAGUGAGGGCUUCGCUCUGAAAGAGGAGGCCACGGUGAGUAACAGAACUGUGUGGAUGUAUGUUUUACAGUUGAGUAGAAGAUGUUUCCUAGGACCCAUGUCUAUCUACUGGCUCUAGUUAUCUGCCCUCUCUCUGUCCCUGUGUCCUGUGCUAUGGAGUGUCCCCCAUUCUUAAACUAGAGGAGUUCUCCAACUGACUCCAAGGGCUUUCAAAACAGGACACCUGACUCAGAAAACCAGACCCCCUCCUUUGACCGGUUUGUCUCCCCUCCCAAGCCUGCCCCAUGUACCAACCCCUCCCCAGACAGAAAUGAAAAGUUUAUCAACAUUUGAUAUUUUUUGCUUUGAACUGGACAAAUUUUACAGAAAUUAUAAAUGAGC
ensembl:lncRNA